rnacentral:rRNA from 1 species
CCUACGGGAGGCAGCAGUGGGGAAUCUUGGGCAAUGGGCGCAAGCCUGACCCAGCAACGCCGCGUGAAGGAAGAAGGCUUUCGGGUUGUAAACUUCUUUUCUCAGGGACGAAGAAAGUGACGGUACCUGAGGAAUAAGCCACGGCUAACUACGUGCCAGCAGCCGCGGGAAUACGUAGGUGGCAAGCGUUAUCCGGAUUUAUUGGGUGUAAAGGGCGUGUAGACGGGAGCGCAAGUCCGCUGUGAAAACUCAGGGCUCAACCCUGAGCCUGCAUUUGAAACUGUGUGUCUUGAGUGCUGGAGAGGCAAGCGGAAGUCCGGGUGUAGCGGUGAAAUGCGGAGAUAUACGGAGGAACACCAGUGGCGAAGGCGGAUUGCUGGACAGUAACUGACGCUGAGGCGCGAAAGCGUGGGGAGCAAACAGGAGUAGAUACCCCUGUAGUC